GUCUUUUUGUAAUUUAUUUAAAGUCUGACCUGCCCACUGAAAUUUUAAAUGGCCGCAGUAUUUUGACUGUGCUAAGGUAGCAUAAUCAAUAGUUUUUUAAUUGAAAGCUGGAAUGAAAGGUUGAAUGAAAAAAAAACUGUCUUAAUUAAAUUAAUUGAAUUUUAUUUUUAAGUUAAAAAGCUUAAAUUAUUGUAUAAGACGAGAAGACCCUAUAGAGUUUUAUAGUUAUGAAAAAUUGUAAUUAUAGAGUUUAUUUUAUAAUUUUUAAAAAUUAUUUGAUUGGGGUGAUUAUAAAAUUAAUAAAACUUUUAUUUAUUUUAAACAUUGAUUUAUGAAAAAUUGAUCCAUUUUAUGAUUAAAAGAUUAAAUUACCUUAGGGAUAACAGCGUAAUUUUUUUUUAGAGUUCUAAUCGAAAAAAAAGUUUGCGACCUCGAUGUUGGAUUAAAAUUAAGUUUUGGCGUARAAGUUAAAAUAUUAGGUCUGUUCGACCUUUAAAAUUUUACA
rnacentral:rRNA from 1 species